GGAUGUGAGGGCGAUCUGGCUGCGACAUCUGUCACCCCAUUGAUCGCCAGGGUUGAUUCGGCUGAUCUGGCUGGCUAGGCGGGGGUCCCCUUCCUCCCUCACUGCUCCAUGUGCAUCCCUCCUGAAGCUGCACGCUGGUCGAUGAGGACGACCAUCCCCGAUACAGGAGGACCGUUCUUCGGUCAAGGGUAUAGGAGUAGCUGCGCUCCCCUGCUAGAACCUCCAAACAAGCUCUCAAGGUCCAUUUGUAGGCGAACGUAGGGUAGUCAAGCUUCCAAGACUCCAGACACAUCCAAAUGAGGCGCUGCACGUGGCAGUCUGCCUUAA
rnacentral:snRNA from 1 species